AUACGGAGGGUGCGAGCGUUAUCCGGAUUUAUUAGGUUUAAAGGGUGUGUAGGCGGGAGCCUAAGUCAGUGGUGAAAUCUCACAGCUUAACUGUGAAACUGCCAUUGAAACUGGGUUUCUUGAGUAUAGUUGAGGUAGGCGGAAUGUGUAAUGUAGCGGUGAAAUGCAUAGAUAUUACACAGAACACCGUUUGCGAAGGCAGCUUACUAAGCUAUUACUGACGCUGAUGCACGAAAGCGUGGGUAGCGAACAGGAUUAGAAACCCGGGUAGUCC
rnacentral:rRNA from 1 species